rnacentral:lncRNA from 1 species
GGAUGAGAACAUAGAUUUGGGUCUCUUUAAAUAUGAAUAGGUUACAAAUUGCCUUUUUAAAUAUUGCUUGAGAUCAAGUGGUAGUGGUUAUAUAUGGAGUCAAGCAGCUGGGAUAUUCAUUCAAGGCGUGUAAUUUUCUUCAUUCUUUGGACAAAACACAAGCAGGUUUUUAAUUUUGAAUAAUUGAUCUUCCCUCCCAUACUGUGGGCAGGUGUUGAUGGUUCCCCACCUUGUUAGCCUGAAGCCUGUUCAUCCCUGGACCGGCCAUGACAUGCCCAGUGCAGUAUCCCCCACGGUGGGGCUGGCAGCAGCCCCUCCACACUAUGCACAGAGCAGUCUGAGUCUGGAAUCGUCUCUUCAGCCUUACAGCUGUUCCAUCUGUUAUUUUCUCCAAACUCCUCUUCCCUGCAUUUCCAAGCAGCGUCUUCUCAUGAUUACAGUCACUUUCAGAGAUGAGCUCAUGCUGAUACCCAAUGAAGAACCCAGUUCAGAAUUUUCUUUUUUUUUCUUUUUUGUUUUUUUGAGACAGGGGGUCUUAUUCUGUCACCCAGACUGGAGUACAGUGGCAUGAACGUGGCUCACUGCAGCCUUGACCUCCCCGGUUCAAGCAAUUCUUCUGCCUCGCCCUCCUGAGUAGCUGGGACUACAGGCAUGCACCACCAAGCCUGGCUAAUUUUUAAACUUUUUGUAGAGAUAGGGUCUCACUCUGUUGCCCAGGCUGGUCUUGAACUCCUGGACUCAAGCAGUUCUCCCACCUCAGCUUCCCAAAGUGCUACAGCUGACUAUAAGCGUGAGCCACCAUGUCCAGCCCAGAAUUUUCAAAUUAAACAAAACUAACCCUCCAACAUGUUUCAGUACAGUGGCCUCAAUACACUAUUCCUCAUGCAAAGCCUUCAGUUGAAAGUGCUGGGUAACUUGGAUUUGCCUGUGUGUUGACCAUCAGUUGCUGCCUAACAGAUUAUCUGCAGCUCUGUGGGCUAAAACCACAGGGAUGUAUGACCUUCCUAUUUCUGUGGGUCUCGAGUCCAGCACAGCUUCUGGGUCGCACUGGCUCAGGUCUGUCCUGAGGUUGCAGUUAAGAUGGUGACCGCAGUGUCUCACCUGAGGGCUCAGCUGGGGCUGGAGAACUGGGCUCCGGGAGGCUCCGUCAUACACCCGCUGAGUUCUGCUGCUGUUGGUGAGAGGCUGGGUUCCUGGCCUCAUGGUUCUUUCUGUAGGGCUUCUUGUGCGUCUCACAGCAUAGCAGCUGGCUCCCUGCAGAGAGGGAGGGAGGAGGAGGAAGCCACAGUGCCUUGCACGGCCGGGUCUCAGAGGUCUCUAUGUCCCCUCCACCUGGUUCUUUUUGUCAGACGAGUCACUAAGUCCAGGCCACACGCAAGGGAUGGGAAUGAGACUCUGCCUUUUGAGGAGUGCUCAGGAAUGCAUGGCCGCAUUUAAACUGCCACACUGUGGCCGGUCAGCUGGGUCUGUUCCACUUCAGGAUCCACAGGCCUCUCCUGGCCCUGCAGGACAGGCUCCCCUGCCUCCACUCCAGCCCGUCCUGGUGGUUGUGAGCCGCACUUAACCCUGCCAGGAUGCGGCUUGUACUGGGAGGCCCAUGGGCUCCGAGAGGACUUCCCUUCAACCUCCAGGCACCUUGAAACUGCCCAGCAGCCAAACCUCAGAGCUGUGGAAGCUCCUGGACGUUUCAAAGACCCACUUAAUAUUUAAUAGUCAGUGCAGCAUUAAUUUCAUUGCUCCCCGAUCCCACAUAUCGAAACCUUUCACAGUUUAGUACAGGGAUGAUGGUGAAAGAGAAACCACAGGGAAAAUCCGAGGCAGUGGAAUUGUUUAAUUUCUGGUUGCUUCUCCUCUUAUUUGUAAUUAAUAUCCAUUCAGCAUCUUUAAAGCUUACAAAAUGCUUCAAGUACAUUCUCAUUGGAGUUCCAUGAUUUGUAAAACAGGCAUGUGAAAAAAUGGGAAGCUAAGGAAAUAGGAAUUCAGAAAAGGUACACUGAAGGUACGCUGAAGGUCAGCCUGAACUUGAACCCACGUCUUCUGGCACCGGACAUCCCUGUUCUUGUCACUGCGGCACUUUGCUCUGUGUGUGGAAAGCGUGAAGGGCCCCUGCAAAUGGACAUGAUGCUGCCUCCUCCACAGGUUUAUUUUUGUGAAAUCAAACAGAAUACUGUUUGUGCUUAAAAACCAUCCUGCGCCCCCAUCUGUAAAAUACAUCGUCCCCGGUACUUCCCAGCAGGCGCUAAGCACCACCCACACUGCCGGCGCCUGACCAGACAGCUCCAUGGAGCUCCUGACCCAGCUUCAACCCGUCGGGAACAGCUCCCAGGGAAUGUGCAGGAAGGUGCCUCCAACACCCGGCCCUUUCUGCCCCUCGGCCCCUGUGGUCACUCUGCCCUCCACAGUCCUUCUGCCCCUGUGGCUGGUCGCUUACUGCUCUGUGCAUCUUCCUGAAGCACUUGGCACUGUUGCCUCAUCUCUGUCCUCUUCCUCCUAUGCCCUCGCCUGGGCCCUCAGCAGCUUCCAGCAGGGAGGGUGUGGGUGCAGUGAUUUGGAUCAUGCCCCUACUCCUCAGAGCCUCUUCCCAAACGAACCGGGUGUGGCGUGCUGGGCCUUUAUUCUUCUGGGACACAAACACGGGACUGCUGAUUGGUCUCUGAUAUAGACCCUGGAGUCUGCUCCUUUUGUCUGGGGCAAAAGGAACCAAGGAGGAAAUUCCAGCCGCACCACAUUUGCAAACGACACACUGUCGGGCUUUUUUUGCAAUAACUGCAUUUCCUAAAUAAUUCAGUCUUUGGAUUGAGAACGUGUCUGUCACUUUCCUUUAUAGAAAUAACCUUUUGUAAAUUAAUGUACUGUUACUUUAUAAAGCCAGACAACUGUCUCUAGAUAGACAGCAAUAAAAGCUACCAACUGUG